UUUUUUUUUUUUUUUUUUUACCUAAAGUAUAUAAGAAGUUUUCCUACAACAUUCAAAAUCUUUCCCUUUCAUAGUUCUUAACCUCUUUGGAAAUAGUCAAUUUUUAGUAACAUAAGAAAAGGGGAUUGGAACACAUUGUAUUAAUUAGGAAGAAAUGACAGUGCUAAUAUGAACAUCUUGCAUUUAUAAGCACCUGGGAAUCUAUAACUCUCCUGGCUUCUAAUUUAAUCCAGUGUUUGCAACAUGGCACCUUGUGGGAUUAUAAAAGAAACUAAAGCCCCUCUGAAGCUUUUAAGCUACAGACUUAAGGUGAGGCAAAUGGAAAACAGAAGUGACAACAAAACAAACAAAAAAUUAUAACAUAACAAUACAAUCAGAAAAUUAUGACUUGUCAAACUGACACCAUUUCACCCAAUCCAAUUAAUGUAUCAAUGCCUAGGAUGCGGAGAAAGUGAUAAUUCAAGCCUGAUCCAAUUUUUGAAACAAAAUUCCAAUGCAAAAAACAGUUAAGUAUUUCUUAAAGUGGGAUCUGACCUAGAGUACUACCACAACAUUUUGGGCUUGGGGUAUCAUCAAUGUGGGAAGACCUUCCCAAAGGAAACAGGUUAUUAAACAAAGUGUAGAUGUUGAUAAAUAUGAAUUUAAAGGCGCUAUUUUAAUUGAGGGAAAAAACAAGAAGACAGACAUCAAAAAUGAGUACUGAAACGCUCUCCCACGGGUCCAAGCCUUCUUAGAGAGCAGGAGUGCAAUUUAUCUUCUCUGCAUUCCCAGCAUAGCCCAGAAACUCAGAAAUAGCAUCUUAAAUGGAAAUAAAACAAGUUAUGUGAAAGCAUGAAGGAUAACCUAAAGAACAAUUACCCUGGAGGUUUUAUAUUUCAGCAAAGAAAUUAUCUAAGGACACAGGCACACAGAACUGGAACCUGGCCCAUAGGAUAGCAGAAACCGAAAAGGCCAGAUGGACUGAACAAUGGAAAGAAGGCUGGGUAGACCAUAGUGGUCUGGACUGAUGUAGAAAGAGUAGGAAGCCACUGAGGUAGAGGAGGGUGUGGAACAGUGUGGAGGACAGCCGUGUUGUCUACAAGCACGGGGCCAGGCUUCACAGAGACAAACUCCCAAAUCACCCAUAGGGCUUCUCCCUAGAUUUUUUUUGGGGGGGGGUGGGGGCUUCUCCCUAGAUUAACGAGAGGGCCGGAAGCUCAAUCUCAUAAUGGGAGAUGUGACAGAUUCAGUGUCCAACCUACUGGCUUUUAUGUCCCUGGAUUGGCCAAGAAGAGUUACAUUAGUGAGAGGAAACGAUUCCUGCAGUUUGGCCCUUGGCAUGUCAGAAGAGACCAUUUGGAAUGGAAUGGAAUGUAAACUUUUCACCAUGAGCUCUGGGCCCUCCAUCAGUUUCCCUACACCUUAUCCAUCAUCCCCCAAUUCAUGCUCUUCACUCUCCCUAAGAAAUCCAUAUGGAUGGUCUCAGAUUUCACCAUUCCCAGGCUCACCCCUGCCUCUGGAAUGGCCCCAACAUCUCACUUUUCCUCCAGAGGAGUCCCCUGCCACACAAGGCCUCCCUAACACAUUCCCCUUGGACUAAGGACUUCUCAACACUCCAUCCAAUACAACAAACACUGGUAGUCAUAUGUUUUUAAAGUCUCCUUCCAUUUUCUG
rnacentral:lncRNA from 1 species